GACGAACGCUGGCGGCGUGCUUAACACAUGCAAGUCGAACGGGCCCGCCCCUGUUUUUGGGGGUGGGUUGAGUGGCGAACGGGUGAGUAUCACGUGAGUAACCUGCCCCCUGCUCCUGGAUAACUGCUUGAAAGGGCGGCUAAUACGGGGUGUGCCGGCUGGUCCGCAUGGGCCUGGUCGGGAUAGUUUCAUCUUCGGGUGUUUCGGUGGGGGAUGGGCUCGCGGCCUAUCAGCUUGUUGGUGGGGUGAUGGCCCACCAAGGCGGUGACGGGUAGCCGGCCUGAGAGGGUGGGCGGCCACACGGGGAAUGAGACACGGCCCAGACGCCUGCGGGAGGCAGCAGUGGGGGGUAUUGCACAAUGGGCGGAAGCCUGAUGCAGCGACGUCGCGUGAGGGAUGGAGGCCUUCGGGUUGUGAACCUCUUUCUCCGGUGGUGAAGGCCCUGUCCGUUGCGGCGGGGUUGACGGUAGCCGGGUAUGAAGCGCCGGCUAACUACGUG
rnacentral:rRNA from 1 species